GUGUACGACUACACAACUGCACGGACCCAAGUCUUUUCUCUGAAGGCAAAAAACCCAUUCAAAAGAAACAGUUAAAUUGAAAUAUCUGAUUUCUUGAUGACUACAUUUUAAUGAAGCAAGCACUGACUCUACAUCCAGGUGACCAUGGCAAAUGUAUCAGCAGUGACGUCAUUCAUUUUGACGGCCUACACUGAACUGGAAGCUCACAGAUAUUUAUACUUCGCAGGUUUCCUUUUUUUGUACAUUGUGAUAUUAUUGGUCAAUUUAGUCCUUAUUGUAGUAAUAUUGUCUGAGAAAAGUCUGCAUGGGCCUAUGUAUUUGUUUAUAUGUAACUUAUCAGUUAAUGGGGUGUGUGGUAGUACAUUUAUAUUACCAUCUGUGCUUAGCCAUUUGCUAUCUCAUAAUUAUGAAAUAUCUCUGUCCUUUUGUCUAUUACAGAUAUACUGCAUAUUCCUGUAUGGUAUAGUUGAAUUUACUAUUUUAGCACUGAUGAGCUAUGACCGUUAUGUUGCUAUCUGUCACCCGUUACACUAUCACCUCCUCAUGUCCCCUAGAAAGGUUACUGCAGCCAUUGUAUUAUCCUGGGUUGUUCCCUGUGUUUACUUUGCCCUUUAUUUAAUAUUAACAACUGUCCGAUUGUCAUUCUGUGACAGGUAUAUAGAAAAAAUGUAUUGUAUGAAUUUCGAAUUAGUUAAACUGUCUUGCCGUGAGACAAGCUUCAUACGAUUUUUAGGAGCAGUAUUACUUCUUGUUUGCCCUAGUCCUCAGAUCGUCAUGAUAUUAUUUUCCUAUGCAUGUAUACUCAGAGUAUGCCUGACUGCUUCUAAGGAAUCUCAAGCCAAAGGUAUUCAAACAUGCACCCCACACUUACUGUCUGUGAUUAAUCUUUCUGUGGGAUGCUUAUAUGAGGUCGUUCAGGGUCGUUUCAACAUGAGUCAUAUACCUCUUCAAGCUCGCAUAUUCCUUUCCCUACACACGAGCAUAGUUCCCCCAUUGUUUAAUCCUCUUGUUUAUGGAAUUAGCAUUCAAGCAAUUAAAGUUCAGAUUAUCAAAUUUCUUAGUAGUAAAAAAAGUGAAACCCACUAAUGGUGAUGAUUAAAAAAUAUAUUCUCUUUCUGUUAUUUAAAUAUAGUUAGUAAAGCUGAACCCUGUAUCACUAGGGUUGCCAGAUUCCAGAUUUGGGCACAAAUGUCUAGUUUUUUUAUUAUUUGUUUAGGUUUGGUUUUUGGUUCCAACUGGACAAUAUAAAUACCCGGUCUGAAUGACUGAAAUUAGACAGUCUGCCCACUUCAUGAUCAAGCAUCAAGAUAUACCCCCGCCGCCCCGGUCAGCGAACCCGAACCUCGUCUGUGUGUACAUGUUUGAUAUCCAGUUUUGACAAAUUCUAAAUCCGGCAACCUUAUGUAUCACAGAGUAAUAUAAAAGGACCUGUAAUAUUAAAAAUCACUGAAAUAUUGAAAAUGUCCCCCUGGGUAUUGCUUGGUUUGUACAUAUUUAAAUAAAUAUACG